CUCUACCAAAAAUGGUGUGUUAAGGGAAUACCCAUCCAGCUCCUGCCAUGGCCAGAGGGAUCAGCAAGAAUUGUGCAGUCUUAUUACAGGAACUCACUCCUGGGAACCACUGAGCUGUUUGUAAGCACAUUUUUACAUUCUUGGACACUUUUCCAGUAAAUGUGCUUAGAGAGAAAAAGCAGGAUUUUAACCAGGGGCUGAAGAAGCUUUUGUCUGGCCUUGACUAGAAUAACACCAGCCCUCUCGUAUUUUGCACUGCUCCAUACCUGAGUUGUUGUGCUGAAAGGCACUGGGUGACCAGUGAAUUCAUUGUUUCUUGAGAUCUGUAUUAUAGCAGAGAGCAAAACACCCUUGACAAGGCAGUGGUGUGUGGUGGGGCUGGCAGCUGAGGCCGAUUGAUUCCACACACAAAGAGGGGGCUCAUGGGGGACUCAGCUCUUCACCUCUGCUUUUUCUGGCAUGAAUUCAGCCUGGCCCCUCAAGGAGCAAAGUAUUGUCUGUAUGGGCAACAGCACAGAUUGAACAGUUUUUCAAGCCAAGUAGCUGCAACUCUGUUACCAUAUUUACCAAGAGAAAAAGCAAAAAAUAUUAUUGUUAGGUUUAAUUUUGCCUGUUCCCUGCUGGUUUGAAUGGCUGCAGCCUAGGAGUUCAGACUACCAGUUGCUCUGCUUCAGCAUCAUGUGGUUGAUCAUCAUGGUUCCCACCUCAUGUGGGGCCACAAACUGUGAGAAGUCAAACUGAACUUCUCCAAGGAAAUCCUGCUUUUCCCUCCAGCCUAUUUCAAGACACAGAUGAGCCCAGGACGGGUUGUGAGUCCCCUCGGCUGUUGGUAGAGUCACAAGCAUGGCAUGGCCGCCCUGCAGGUGGAGGGAGCAGCGAGCAGCUGGUGGAUAAACCAUUGGGUUCUAAGUAUCAAAUACUUCUGGGAUGCCCCUGGCACCCAUUGCCAGCAGCCUUUGGAAGGAACAGGAUGUCGGAAAGCUGUCACAGGAAGCAUCUUUUAUAAGCAAGAGGAGGGGAUUUGCCAAAACACCCCCCAGGUUUCCACACUGUUUGCUUUGGAGGAGGCAAACAAACGCCCUGAGACGGCACAGGAAGAGGCGGCAGCGCCGGGCCUGGCUGGGUUACAGCACGGCGGCGCGGCCGGGGAGCUCUCACUUCCUCUCUUUCUUUGGGAACUGUAUUUGUUAUCACAGCCUUGUGGAGGAUUUACCCAGCCUAUGCUGGGACUGUGGGGCCGGGGCCAGAGCCACGGCCCGUUAGGGACAUUCCCACUGCAGGCUCAGGCAGCUGUUCGGGGCAGAGCUGGUGGUGGCGGGACGUGGCGCGGGAGCUGGGCCAGGGGCCCGCCCGCCUGCGGUGAAGCCGUGUGGGGCCGCUGGCCUGACGCCAUCUUGCUUCAAUGCUUGGAGCCCUCGGCCUGGGGCACCGACCAUGGCGGGCUGCUGCGGACUGGGGGCCGCGCACAGAGCCUCGGCAGGGCCCGCACUGACUCAGCCUCCGGGGAACUCGGGCGCUGCAGCCCGGUGACUUCAUCCUCUGGAAAUAGCAACCGAGGAGGAACCGUCUCUGUCACUACUAUACCCGUACUGACACUCAGCCAAUAAUGGCUCCUUGGCUAAAAUGUAUAUUCCAGAAAAGGCACCUGAUUCCCUGCGAGGGCUUCAAGGGAAGAGGACUCCUGCAAUUCCCCUGGUUGCAAAGUAAGGCAAAGCCAAGGCAGCAGCUGGCAGUGGCUGUCUCAGGUAACAGGGGCCCUCACUCUUAAUCACUGGUGAGCUGAAUCUUCCUGAGGAUUCUGCUGGGGCAGCACAGAGAUCAUCCAAACUAUGUCUCUGCCACAAUGGCCAGGGAUGUUUGAGUUCCCUUGGAGGCACCCUGGGGAUGUCCAGUCUGGCUUUUUCCAGGGGAACAGUGCAGGGACAGGACUUGUGGCACUGGGGCCAGUGUGAAGGGCUGCUGUGGGCACAAGGCAGGUGUCCCACAGGCACCAAUCUCUGCAUCCACCUGCCUCAUCAGCCAUGGCAGCCCUUUGCUGGCCACUGCAGAUCAGGCUGGCAGGAGCUGCUGCUGCCAGCACGAUGCUUCAGCUAUGCUGAGAAAAGCCCUCUCUAGCCCCACAUCUCCAGGCUGGGGCAAGUCCAUGGCACAGGGCCAGCACUUGCCCCCUCCAGCAUUCCUGUGGAGCUUUCAGAGGUUAAAGCAUCUCUCCAGGCAGGUUUGGAGAAUGGCUGUAGGACUUCAAUGGAUUGUGAGUGGCAGAGAAGGCACAAAGGGCUCCAGGACAGACUGGGAUUGAUCAAUCUCACCAAGGGAGGAGGAAGCAGAAUGGGGAUCAGGGCAGCUUCCUAGGCCCCUCUACCAUUCCCAGCAUCACAAAGAGGUCAGAUUUUCCCUUUUAUACAGAAAAAAAGGCUCAUCAGCAAUCACAGCAGGCUGGGUUUGACAGCUCAUAACUUAAUGGCUUUUAAAAAAUAGCCAUACUCUGUUUUAAAUGCUGGUCAAGGUCUCCUCUGCCCUUCCCCCCUGGAAAGCCUUCCCAGCUCUCACUUUUCUGAUAUUACUUUCCCUAAUCUUUGGCCUUCAUUUAUUAAUGGCUAAUUAUAUCUAUUUGCUUUAGUGCCAACAUUGUCCUUUAGCUUGAAUAGCUUUUUUGCCUCCCUAAUGUUUGCUUCCCAGUGCUAUUUAUAGGCAGCAGUUGUAUCCCCCUGCAGCCACUGUUGUGUUUGGCUACAUGGGCUCUGAGCCUUUGGCCUCCUCAAACAGCCCUCCUGCCUCCCUUGGUGUCCUGUUCACGAGUAGAGGGGGUCAGACAGGCCCCCAGCCAGUGCCUGGCUCUUGGAGAAACCGGUUUGUUGUCAGCACUGGCCAUGAUGCUUUUGGGACAGGAACCUGGGGGCAGAGCUGUGUGUCCCUAGGGAGUCCUGUUGGGUUGUUUUUUUAGGCAGCCCCAUGGGGUAAUUCUUUUAGGCAAAGACAGGAAUCACUCCAGGCUCCUGUUUGCCUUCCCUGUCCCUCCUUCCACAUUUCUGUGGAGGGAGAGAAGCGCCCAGCAGCAUGGCCCACCAAGGCAGCACGAGAAGGCGUGUGAUUCCUUUGCUGCGCUUUUAUCCCGGGAUGAGAAAGAUGAUGGAAAACAUUUGUUUUUGUGAUAAAAGCAAUUGACCCAGGAGGAAUCUGCCUCCCCAGGGUGGCCUGCAGCAAAUCACGGAGAUAAGACAUAGCAGGCAGCAAACACCAAGUGCUUCCAAGCCUUGGAGCAGCUGCAGAGCAAAUCCCUCCCCACGUGGAAGGAAACCCGCACUGGGCUUCCACAGCUGCUCCUGAGGAUAGAUAACAUGGCCAGGGAUGGUUUUAGUGGAUUUUGUUGGGAAUGGGAAGGUCUGCAGAGAAGGGCACUGUUUGUUUUUCUUAAUGAAUGGCCAGAUUUUUUUAUUUGAGACAUCUUCACCACAGAUCUCAGCCGAGCUUUUAAUAGAUGGGUUCCUCGCCAGCGGCAAUUGCAAAUUGAUUGCAGCAGAAAUGGCAAGUGGAGACAAAUAUAGUGCAGGCUGCCUGCAGGGAGAGUGCGCGGAGGAAACUUCGGAUGCUAUUUUUGGUGUUUUGUCUCCACUGCUUACAGUAUUUCUAAUCUAUGGUUUUCCUUAAAAAACUGUUUGGGGUUAGGACUUUUUUUUUUCUUUUUCUUUUUGAGAGGUUAAAAAUGUUCCAUUCUCUUGAGAAAGUGUUGGGUUCCAUGCCCAGCUCUGUGGAGCUGCUGGGUGCCUUGGCCCAGGUUGGUCUGGCAACAGGGUGUACUGCUGCUGCUGCUGCUGCUGCCUCCAUCCCCUCCACUGGGACCAGAACUGGGCCUAUCUCACUCCCAGGUGCUGUGCGGGGACUGACACGGAGCCAAACCCUGAUUUCACCCCAAUCCAUGGGAGCCUUGUGGGGUGCAAAAAAGUACAGCACUCUGGCUCAUAAAGACAGAAAGUUCUCCUGUGCCUGCUGAGCCAUGGCUGCACCACAAGGGCUGGCAGCAGCAGCCCCAGCAAUGAUCUGCACUGCUCAGCACCAACGCACUGAAUUGCCCUUGGUCCCAGUCAGCUCCAGGAGCUGCAGCAGCCAGAGGGUCCUGAAACACAGGGAGACCCAGGAGGGUGCUGCAGGUGAAAUGUUAGACCUGGAGGGUGUCAGCUCAGGGCUGAAAAAUCAUAAAUCCAGGUGUGACCAAGAGUGUGUGUGCUGGAGUCUAACUGCAAGGAGACCAGGAGGAGGGUGCUGGGAGUCACUCAGGUUACUUGGCAAUAACUCCAAGUUAUUGCUGGGCUUGGGGAGCCACAGCUGUGUGACACUGGAGUGGUGUUAAAGGCUGAUACCCUAACCUUCUCAGACCCAGGGGAUGGUCAGGACAUGGUGGCAGAUGGAGGCACAGUCCCAGGAUGAAAAGCAGAGGUGUCUCACUGAACACUGUGUUCAAGUGUGUGAGAGAUAAGGCUGCAGUUAGAAAUAAAGGAGCAGGAAUGCUCAUGAAAGUGACAAACAAGGGUGAGGGAAAUCUGUGUUUAACUCCAGAACAGUGAAAUAAAAGCAGCUCAGAGCAGGACUGGCUGUGACCACACAGACAGUGUCCAUCUGGAGGUCUGGGGUGUUUGCAGCAACGGCUCAGGGGAGAUCAUCAAAUGGCAGCAUUUCGUACCACAGGAUAGGGUUUAUUUGCUGCAAGGAGACCUCCUGGUAUGAGAAACCCCAGAUAUCCUUCUGCCAUCUUUUUAAACAUCCCUAUUUAUGCAGACCCUGUUUCACCUUGAUUUGAUCAGGCUGCAGUCUGUCAUUCACUGAAAAAUCCCUCAAUUUCCCAUGCUUGCCUUUAAACAAUUUAAAAGGCACCUCUCCACCAGCAUGCUGGAUGAUGCAGGCAUUGGAAGAAGGACACCAAAAAAGGGAAAAAUAAAUUGUUCAAAUUGUGGCUCAGUGGAGCCCUUCAGCAGAGGGCACCUGUAGCUCUGUCACACCUGGCCAGGCUGAUGUUGCAUGCCUAGCACAUCCCAAGGCUUGUACCCAGAUGCUCAGCAUUGCCCACCAUUAGCCAGAGUGGGCUAUGGCUGCUGACCACCCUUGGGAAGAAAAAAAAUUUGAAAAAAAAAAAUUAAAAACUUUUAAAAUGUUUUUAAGGCAGUCACUGUCAUCUACCUCUGAUAACUCUGUACCAACCACCCAGCCUGCAGUGCAGGAUCAGGAUCCCAGCGCCCCACAGUGCUGUCUGUCCUGCCCCACUGGGCACCUCUGGGAGAAGAGGCUGAGUGCCAAGGUAGGCACAUACCCUCUGCUUGGGAUUUCCCAGCUGGGAAGGUUUUCAGCUGGCCUUGCUGGGGCUGGAAUGUGCAGAUGUACCAUGGAGAAGUGCAGCAGUGCUUGGGAGCAGUCCAAGGUAAAUGUAUUUGGUACCACACGCGUCUGCCUGGCUCCACCACUGGCACAGGCACUGGCACUGGCACUGCAUCACUGCGGGGUGAGGCUGCUGACCAAACUCCCUUUUUGGGGCUGCAAAGGUCUCAGGGGCAGCACACGCCGGCUCAGCCCCCACAGGAGGUUAUUUUGCAAGAGAAGGCAGCUUGCGGAGGAGGUUUUUGUGGCUGGGGAUCAAAGUCCCUGGCAGCCACCCAGAUUCCCAGUAUUUAGCUGUUGCACAGCCUGGGUCUGCAGCUGGGUUUGUGUGCCAGGCCGCGGCAGGAGGCAGCUGGGAGGGGGAGCCUAGGGCUUGUGGGGGGAGGAGGGCUCAGCUAUCCCAGUGCUGGGAUGCUGGGGUCAGCCCUCUUGCUUCUUCCCAGGAAACAUGGAAAUGGGGGUCAAGCCCCAUGACCACCCCUGGGAAGGGCAGGUGGGAGGCAGGGAUGCUUGGGAAAACGGCUGACCAUGAACAGGAUUCCCAAUGUCCAACAGUCACAAGGAAUCAGCUUUUCUUUGUCCAGCAAUGGAGGCGUUGUCUCCAGGUCCUGCAGCACCCCAGCUAAUGGGAGCAUGGCUGGACCUUCCCUGUCCUGAUUUGGCCAAUGCCAGCCUCACCCCAGGCAGUAAUCCUGCUUUCUCCAUCCUGCUCCGUAUCUGUCAGUCCUGGGCUGUCUCCCAGUCCCCAGUGCUCCCAGGGUCUCAACUGAAUAAGCACAUUUUUUACCGUGUUUGUGGCUGCAGACCUUGGGGAGCUCUGGGAGGAAGCAGGGAGGGACGCAAGGAAGACGUCAACUGACUUUUACAGCUUUGAUUAGUUAAGAGCAUAUAUUUACAUGAUGAAUAACCUGGAGGGUCACAUUUUAAGACACUGAUGUAUUUCCCCCUCCCAGGCAAACAGCGUGCUUAUCCCUGCUGGGUCUGUGGGCUGGGACUUGGAGCUCAGUUCCCUUGCCAGCCCCACUCCCAGUGCAGACAAGGAAACCAGUAACACCACCCACCCCACCUUGCCAGGGCUAAGUAAAUGUUCCUGGUUUCUCCUCUGCCCAUCACAGGCUUUUGCCAGGUCCAGUCUUGUAGGGGCAUAGUCAGUGCUCCCACCCUUUUCAUCUGGCCAUAUUUCCUUAACCAGCUAUUUGGGAUGGGGGGGUGUCAGCUGUCACCUCACAGCGACUGUAAGUGGCAGCAAAGGGCUGGGUGUCACCCGCCAUUCCCAUCGCAAACCAGGGCUGAGGGAGCACAGCUCACCCACAUAUUGCUGCCGGACACUGUCAGCAGACACUGGGCUGGCAAGAAACUAGGCUGGCACUUGCCACAAAAAAGGGUAGAUAUCUGUCAGGUUUGGGUCCAGGAGCUGUUCCUGCUGUAUUACUAUCAGCAACCUCUGUUAUAAGGAAAAAAAAACAAAAUUAAGAAUAGAUGUAAAGAGCAAUGUGGGUUUUUUUUCGUUCAGCUGAGCUGUCAAGAAUAAAUCACUCAGUAUUUUUGCAAACACUUGGUGAGGCUGGGGAAAUCUGCUGGGAGCUGGACUGCUCAGGUCAGGGCUGUCCUGCCAAGAGAUGAUUACAGCCUGUCCUGGGGACAGAGGAGCGGGGAACGGGGCCAAGAGGUGUCUCAAGUCCAGGAGUAGGAUUACAGGCUGCGGGGUCAGCAAAACCCUCCCAUGUUCUGGGCAGCACCUGAACCCUUUCCAGAAAGGAAACCACCCGGAGAACUGCUGGGCCUGGCAAAGGGCCUUUGGUGGGGGGCAGGGGGCCUCCACCAGUCCUGCUAGGAGAUGACAGAUGUUUAGGGGAGAAUUAAUAAGUCAGUACGUGGCAUUUCUGCCCAGAAUUGAGAUGGAGGGUCUUGGCUUCUGCUGUCACGUGUGUCUUGGGGUCAGGGUGCUCCUCAGACCCACAUCAGUCUGCAUCCCCACAACUCUGAGGUUGGAGUGCUUAGAAGUGGACCCCCCUGCUCCCGACCACCUUCCUGGAGUUGCACAGAAGCAACUCAUCUUGUCAUGAACAUCUUGUCAGAUUGUGACCUCCCUGUCAAAGCACAGAUGAAAUUUGUAAUGUUCCUGUGUUAAAAAAAAAGUCACUAAAGUAGGUUAAAAAUCCAGCUCAGCACAGUGCCGGGAGUCUAUUGGAGCAGGUAAUCUAUAACAAAACAAGUUAACACAUUGCUACAGCUUAGCCUAUUGGGUUUUUUUAGCAUCCAUGUGUUUUUUGCAAGGGAGGGGCAGAGCAAGGCUGCUCUGUCGAGGAAUCAGUGCCAGCCUGAGCUUCGUUCGGCCUAGGGCCCAACUCUGCCGCCUCCACACCUCUGCCACAUUUUCACCUUCCCUUGAAAUCAAUCCCACAGAGCAACAAGGCCACAGGGAGCAACAGCAGAGCCAAACCAGAGCCCCUCAGAGCUUGGACCAAGGGGGCACAGUUGGAGGUGGUGGCAGAGUGCUGAGGGAUGGGGAGCAGGGGGACAGUCCUCAGGUUUCCAUCUGUGCCCAUCCAGUAAGUCCAGCAGCCUGUGCUGACCACAGGGAGACUUCCCUGGGAGAACAUCAACAACGUUCUCUUCUCUAUCCAGUGUCUGAAGAGAUCCAAGAUUUAUGUAGCUCAGCUUCAUGUAAACGUGGGAAAAAGAGAGAAAAAUGGGAAAAAAUGGGGAGGAGGGGUAACUACCAGCUGCAGUGAUACUGUUACUGAUGCCCAGGGCAGAUCUCACUGACCCAUGACGUGAGGGCUGGAGAUCCUCGCACAGCCCAGCUGCUGCCAUCACCUCUUGGGCAGAAUUCAAGUGUGGGACCUGCUGCCUGGCUCAGAGGAGAUGAGCUUGGUUUUCAGAGCUGACAUGCAGAAACCAGAGAAGUUUCCAUGAAACCCUUCACACUGACAGUGUUGGGUGAAGCCCUGGCUCUUGUUACAACUCCUGGGAUUUUGGAGUGGCAAAACCAUGGUGUGUUAAUGCUCACAAACAGGCGCCAGAACAACAGUUUGUGUGGGCAGAGGGAUAGGAUGUUCUGUCUUGAACCAACUCCCUCCUAGACACCAGCACCAAUCCUGCCCUCAGGAAGGAAUUAUGUACCAGACAGCAUAGUCAGGCCAUGGUAUUGCUGGGCAUGAGCAGCUCACAAAGCAAGUAAUUGCUCCUGGCUGUCAGGCUUUGUCUGAUUGUGGCACAGCAGAAAGGAAGAGCCAAGGAGAAGAAAGGAAAGGAGAAAAAAAGGGAAAAUUAUAAAAAGAAAAGAGAGAGAAGAGGAGGAAAAAAGGGAUAAAGAGAAAAGCCAGAAGAUGCAAAGGAAAGCAAUGGCAAGGGACAGCACUGCUGCAUGAUCAAGAAAAGGCUGGAAAAAGUCUUGGGGGCUCCCACCCCCUGAGAAGGACAGCUGGGCAUGUUGCCCAUGUCCCAUUGCUGCAGCUGCAUCUCAGAUAAUGUUCAUUGCACUGAAUUUUUCCUUUCGAUGCCAGGAGCCUGAGUAUUGAACAGGCCCAGUGCAGUGCUCAGCAGUGCAUGUCCCUGGGCUGGGGCUGGUUUCCAGCAGGAGCUCCCAGCUCUAGGGCCUGCUGCUCUGGGCGAUGCCCAUCAGCCAGGCACUGCGGGUCACAGGCAAGACAACCGCUGGGCUCCAGCAUCUGGGCACAGCUCCAACACCCCACCUGUGUGUGCAGGCUGUGUCCCACCUCGCCGUUCUUUUGCAUCCAUAGUGCAACUGGGAAAAGCAAACAUUGAAAACAUUCCCCCCACCCUCUGGCAUAGCUGCAAACGUUUCGUCAUGCAAACCUCUGCAUAAUGGUCACUGCUGUGCUGCUUUAACCGGCCCUGUGGGCUGGGUGUCUGCCUGCCAGGCCAGCUGCUGGAUUUCUAGGAAACCAAGUGAUGAGGCAGGUACCUUUAAUGCAGGCUUGUGGCCUGAUGUGAUCAGACAAAGAGCAGCGGACCAGGACCAUGAGUGCUUAGCUACCACCCUGUGCUGUGCUGGGCAGGAGCAAAAGCCCUUGAGCAGGAGAAGCUGCUGCUGCCAAGACGAGACGCGAGUGAGACAUCCACACCCAGAGUCCCAAGCGGUGAAAUGAGUCACUGCCCUGUGCCGACAGCAUCCAGUGCUGGGACAUGCUGGCCCCACACCCUUGUGGGUCUGCUCAAUACAGGAUGUGUGGCUGAGCAAGGUGGGGGCUUUUCUCUUGGCUACACUGCUCAGGAUUUCAGCCAGCAGGAUCCAUGGUGUGGGGUGAAUCAUGAUGCCAGCCCCAUGUCUGCCAUGCUCACUUGCAUUAGCCUUUGGAUAACAAGCCGUGGGGCACAGAAAGUACUGCCCACCACCCUGCCUGCCCCUUAGCAUCCUUUUCCAUCUUGGCAGGGACACUGAGCUGCAUGGCAUGGCCCUAUGGACAAGGAACCACCAAGUCAAAUCCUCAGGUGUAGCUCAGCUGCAGCAUCCUCUCCGUGAGCAGUCAAGACACUGCUGAGCAUCAGGACAGCCCCCACUGACCCCACAGCAUCCUCCAGCCGAGCCCCUGUAGAAAAUGGAUCUCUCCAGCCAGUGCCUCAGUGUCUAAAUAUCACCGUGGGCUGCAGGGAGCCUUUAGAGCUCCCAUGGCAGGAGAAGAUUUAGCAGCCCAUUGCCUCAGUAACACCCCCUGCCCACGCUCAGCCGUGCCCACGGAUGCUGCAGCAUUUUGUGAGUGAUGGGUUUGCAUUUGUCCAGUGCCUUUUGCCAGAGGGAUCUCUGUUAAUGCUGCAAAUGUCACAUACUUAUGUGGAGGUUACACACAUCAGUCACAUCCCCCAACCUCCACAACACAUCAGGUCCUCCGAGAUACAAUCACCCAGGGGAAUGGUGGACAAGAAGCAGAUGCAAUUACCCCAGCUGGGGUAUAGUCAAUAUGUGGGCAAAACCUCUGCUCUUGUGAAGCUGCUUAGAAAGUGUUGACUGUCACACAUCUUCAGGACAUUCCUUUCUGAUCUGAAACCAAUCAGACAGGACCAGGUAUUGCAUUUGUCUCCUGUAAAGCAGAGAUUACUCUAGGUCUUCAGGAAUUACUAAAUUUGAGUUGACGUUGAGAUGUAUUUCUAUGGAGAUGAGCCUUUGAUUUGCACCUGUGCUCGGUCUGCCGGGCAGGGCAGGCUGUUGGAGCCGUACGGAUCCAGCUCUUUCCUGGGCAGAGCCACCCGCGCAGCACUCAGCGGUCAGUCCUCACCCUCCUGUCCCAGUGCCCCACAUACUUUCACACACCACACUCAGCACAUGCCUCUCUAAGUGGUUUCACAGUGUUCCAAUUUAACAGAAUAAACGUUUACUGUGAUAACAUCAGCAGGUUUCCCCUGCGCAUGGCAGAGAAUCUAUUAAUACUUGUUUAGGAAAUAAAUUUGUUUAGGAAAGCCCCCCCAGUCCUCAAAAGCACGUGCUUUACAGCUUCAACCCAGCCCCCAGAUGUAGCAAUUUCCCCAGGGCCCAAUUGCAAAACAAGCUGCUCUGGCCCUUGGCAGCCCUGCUCCCUGUCACAAGAUUCUAGACUUCUAGUAGGCUUUUUAAAGAAAGUUUUGGAAAAAAGUUUGUUUGCACAGGCAAUGCACAGAGUUCUUGCAGUUGGGGUUUUUCUUUUUUUUUUCCUUUCCUUAGUGUUACACCUUUGUGGGCGUGGUCCACAGUAUGAUCCCAUACUGAAACAUUUUGAAUAAUUUUUUCUGCAGAAUAAUGCUUAUGUGAUUUCACCUUUAAAAGGACAAAUACCUCAACUCACUAUUCAAACACAGCUAUUAGUGCCACUCAACCAACAGCUAAAAAAUCCUAAAACUUUUACCAUAAUCAGGCAAUUUAAUCAACUGGAGUUUUAACUCUACAACAUUUGAAACAUAAGAUAAACACUUCAGAUGCCCAAUACAGCAUUGUUGCUCUGUCAUCAGCUCCAGGACCCAAACUGGAAGGUUUUGCUCGUAUUGUAAAACUAAUUUAACUUCUGUCAAGCCUAAAAGAAAACAGUGAUCAUAGCUAAUCAUGUCAAAAAGAUGUUUGGAAAAUUAAAUAAUAUUCACCACCCUUCCUGCAGGUACAGGGGAAUCCAUAAUAUUCCAUGCCAGAAUGGAUUUCAUACAUGUUCUAAUGUCAGGAUGCAAACUCCAUUUUGAAUAAAGGGUUAGUUUGGCCCUGCCAUUGGUUUUGCUUAAAAUAGAAAUCACUGAAGUUUAUUUGGGCAAGAAGAAAGUUAAGCUUUGCUUACCAUUAAAAUACAGAAAUCAGACCAUGAAAAAAUCUACUCAUUAAUUCACUGAACACUGAAAAACCUGUAUUGCCUGCUUUCUCAAGUGAUCUUUAUAAGUAAAAUCUUCAGGCAAUCAGGUUAGCAUAGAUUAAACUGCUACCAGGAUCACAGAGCACCUCAGCUCAAAACCUCUUCAGCAAUACUGUAGAAAUGAAUGAGCCAAACCCUGAGAACAGCUCAGCCUCUGCUAGAGGAGAAACAGUUAAUGUUCAUCAGUGCCAUGGCUCAGCAGAGCUGUUUCACAGCCAGGAACUACUUUGUCCAGCCUCAGUUAAUCCACAGUUUCUGUGCCUGCUGGAGGUGAGUGCCAGUGGCAGCACAGGUGCUCACUCCCUGCUCCGACCCAUCUGGGGCACAGCCAAGGGCAGGGAGCAGAGGAAGAGACAAAAGUGGAAAGAACCUCACAUGGGCAGUGACCCAACUGGAGCCCUGUGCAGAGGAUAAGCUCAGCUCUAGUUGUGGCUGUUUGCCAGUUCAGCCUACCUGGACUCUGGCAGUACAGACCGACUGCUGUCCCCAGUCACAGUUGCAGCACUUGAGGCAUAGGGGAGAACCCUAAACUGCACCACUGCCCAGUUACUGCAAUUGAACAGGGGCAAAAAGUCAUCUAAUGGAAGGUUCUUAAGCUUUAGAUGAGGCACCUGCCCAUCUGAUGUUUUCCAGCUGGUAAGAGAGCACUGGAGUUCACAGUGCCAAAAUUAUUCUAGUAACCCAGUUGUUGACAGAUGGUUUUAUAGUCCCUCUGAUAUACCAAAAUAUAAUAGGAUGUUACUAUGAACAUCUCAAAUCCAAAAGAUGUGUUACUUGGAUCUUUCUUACUUCAAUUAUAGUCUGUCAAAAAGGUUUUUAUACAAUGAAGACCAUACCUCUCACAUAAAAUGCCAUUUUAUCCCUAGGGUUUGGGGUUUUUUUCAGCUCUGGAAGGAUUCUUAUUUCAUGCCCCUAAGACAGCACUUCAAUAAGAAAAAGGGUAGCUGGCUAUCUUCCAUUUUCUCAAGAUGGAAAUAAUGUGUUUGAUCUUGCAUGGAGAACAUCCCUAUCCCUUUGUGAGAUGAAAUGAUAGAUUAUUGAAGACACCACAUAAGUGUGCACUGAAGGACUUCAUUCUGAGCCUCAGGUAGACCAGGGGGAUUGUAUCACUGACAAGACCAAUAACCUGAUCAGAGGAGCUACAGGAGUUCUUCCCAGCCAAAGCAGAAUGAACAGAGGGAGUGCGGUGCUCAGAGUGCUCCUCAGGUCAUGCUGAUCAAACUGACACAACAAAAAGCACACCCACACUUCCUCUCAGGAUUUGUUUGGGGUAGGGGUUGUGCAGACUGACUCUCACCAUGCAGAGGUCCCACAAUUGGCUCAAAAUAGGCAAAAGCCCAAACAGAAGCAACACAAACUUCUGUAUUUUGCAAAGAUUUGUAAAAGGAAAAAACCCCAAAUAUUUUGUGGCAGUCUUAAAAUUGCACAAAAAUCAGAUUCAACCUAUUUAUGAGUUUUUAAGAGCAACUAGGAGCACUGUCUUCUCUCUCUGGCCCUACCAGAGGAUAAAGCCUGAGAACUCAAUUAGCAAGAAAAGAUAGCACAAAACCAACAGGUAACCCAACAAAACAAUUGAAAGCUUUUAUUGUGAUACCUCGAAUAGAUACAAUAUAGUGAAACAACAAAUGAUGUACAGUAUUGCAAGGACAAAACAGCAACACAGCCAUGUCACCUGUAAAAGAAAGCAUUUUUAAGAGUUUAAGAAACAAUGAGGCACAACUCAACUGCCAUUUAUGACUCAUGCUUUAGACCUUAAACCACUUGUAACAGUCCUUUAAAAAGAAACCUCUGAAGCAUCUGUUCCUUUUCCAGUAAGUGUUUAUACUGUUGGUUGGCUUAACAUGAGUCUCAGUGAAGUCCAAUAAAGUGUCCAAGAAGUUUAAUAAUAAUUUGACAGCUUCUUCCUCUCAUGGCCAAUAUCCAAGGCUGGAGAUGACUGAAGUUUGGUCUGUGAGUCUGGAGGUCGCUGCUGCUGCAAUCUGGCUGCUGAGAUGAGCGGGCAGGAGGAGCCCUACAAGCGGCACUUGGAGGGAAGUGCAUGGCCACCAACCCUGGCACCCAGCCUCAGGGAACUCUUGCACUGAUCCAUCAGCGGGAAAUACAGAUGACCUUUGGUUAUAGGGGCAGUGGGUCUCGGUCAGAACCUCUGAGGCCAGUUUUUAACUCAAAGAAAUAUCAUAAUCCAUAUUCUCCCUCCUCUCCCAAGGACUGCAGGCACACAGGCAUACCACCCACACUGGUCAUUAUGCUGGGCCUUGCUACUGGGACAUUAAGAUGGAGCCAUAACAAUCUUCCUUCAUACAGUUUGCCAUUGUACAGCUUACAAUCAACAAGGGAAAUUCAUAUCCCGGCCCUUUUAACUGGCAAAUGAAGUUAAGAUUACCAGGCCUCUAAAAGCAUACAGCAGGAGUGGUUAGGGUGAGCGGUCUGCAAUCCCUCACCAAAUUCUGCAGCUGAUUUCACAGCAAGUUUGCAAUGUGACAGGAUUUUUAUACAUGGCAGCAUUGCCUUUUAGUAAUCAGAAAGGUACUUAAAGUAACCAGCCAAAGAACUCUAGGGUUUGGAAGCAGACUCAGUGCUGGAAAAUCACUGUUACAACCAUUAUUUUGGACCUAGACAGAGAAUGUGUGGUCAGAUUACUAAAGUCACACCGAAUUAUGAUUAAUUACUUUAGGACAGGCGUGGCUUUAGAGGUUCAGUGGAAAAAAACUUUCAAUACAUGUACAUUUUUGCUAGCAAAUUCCUAUGCAUCCCAAUGAACAUUUCUUCUAAGCCAGCUCAUAGUCAGUUCAUUUGGUCCAAGAAAGAGCCAGCAAGAAACAAAGGUUCACAAAAGCUUUUUGUUACAAUUUAUAAAAAACAAAAUACAAAAUAAAUGUUAAGACCAAAAAUAACCAGUACAAGUAACAAAAGUGCUCAAGUUGGAGGGGAAGUAAACUUGCCCAGAGCAAACACAUACAAACUUUAAAUAUAAUCUUUAAUAUAUUACAAAAAUUGGUUAGAGGGAAAAUGCUUUAGUAAAAUUUUUUUUUUUCAAGUAAGUUUAUUUUUCUUUCAAAUGACUGCUGGAGGGUUCAGUGACCAGACUGACCUCUUCACAUCAGCCAGCAGUCAUUGCUAUCUGGAUUCAACUUUCACCAAAACCAAUAACAAGAAUUCUCUAUAUCUUUAUAAGGGGAGAAAAUAAUCAUUGAUGCUGCCAAACAACAUGGGAAGAAAAUUCACAUGUUCCCUCAAAAGAAUGGGCCUCAAGAAUUAUUACAUGGCAGCAUAAAAUAGUAAUUCUGCACUAGAUUCUACUCUUUACUCCUUCUAAGCAUCCACUCUUAAUAACAGACCAAAGAGAAUAUUGCUUUGUUUGGUUCUCUUAAAAGCCAUAAACAUCACAUAUAGGUCAUUAACUCUUUAUGCCAGUAGUCUGAAGCUCUAUGUGCUAAGCACUUGAAGUCCCCAACCUUUGGCAUCAAAGUUAAUUAAGGUUUUGGUGAAAAUGUCCAGUUUGAAAUAUAAAUAAUGCACUGAAGAAAGAGGUUGAAUUUCUAAGAAUAAGACUGUGUUACAGACGGCAUUAGCUUACUAACAAGAGCUAGUCAAACCCCCAAUUUUGGAGAGAAAAAUCUUUAAUACUUUACAUAUUUUCUUUAAUUUCAGCUCUCUCUGGAAAAGCAGCCAUUACUUUUGCCUUCAGUCCAGUGUACUGCCUCAGCAAGUCUGCAGCCAGGGAAUAAGAAAAGCCCAAAGAUACACAAACAUCACAAGCUGUUCACAAGUAUCAACAUUGCAACAGGACUUAGAAGCCAACACAAACUUUUUGCCGAUAGAAGUUUAGCGCCUUCCUUGUUGGCAACAUACUUUGCAAUGGUGGAAAACAAAAUCCCAAGAAUUCCAGAUCAAAAAGAGCACGAGACAGGCAACACCCAA